rnacentral:hammerhead_ribozyme from 1 species
ACACUGCUGACGAGUCCCGAAACAGGACGAAAUAGCUGUCCAGUGC